rnacentral:rRNA from 1 species
AGAGUUUGAUCCUGGCUCAGGACGAACGCUGGCGGCGUGCCUAAUACAUGCAAGUAGAACGCUGAAGAGAGGAGCUUGCUCUUCUUGGAUGAGUUGCGAACGGGUGAGUAACGCGUAGGUAACCUGCCCUGUAGCGGGGGAUAACUAUUGGAAACGAUAGCUAAUACCGCAUAACAAUGGAUGACACAUGUCAUUUAUUUGAAAGGGGCAAUUGCUCCACUACAAGAUGGACCUGCGUUGUAUUAGCUAGUAGGUGAGGUAACGGCUCACCUAGGCGACGAUACAUAGCCGACCUGAGAGGGUGAUCGGCCACACUGGGACUGAGACACGGCCCAGACUCCUACGGGAGGCAGCAGUAGGGAAUCUUCGGCAAUGGGGGCAACCCUGACCGAGCAACGCCGCGUGAGUGAAGAAGGUUUUCGGAUCGUAAAGCUCUGUUGUAAGUCAAGAACGAGUGUGAGAGUGGAAAGUUCACACUGUGACGGUAGCUUACCAGAAAGGGACG